ACUUCCUCCAAUCUCCCACUCAUUACUCAGCUUAGGAAGGUCCAGGGCCUCCAGCUCCGAUCCACCACGCUACGCUAGCUCUAUGCCGGACUCCUCCUCCUCCGCCGGCACAGGCGGCAUGGCCCCCUCGAGCUCGGCGGCGGCGUCCAUUGCCGCGCUCGCGGCCGCCGCGGCGUCCGGCGACGGCUCGGACGACUCCGGGGCGGCCAACAACAACGGCGCGCUGCCGCUGCCGCUGCCGCCGCCGCACGGGGUGGAGGACAACAACAGUCCCGCGGAGCUGGCGGGCGCGGGUGGCACCUCCCGGGCGGUGGCGAGGAGGGUCGCGGCGGCCGGCGCCUCCCCGGCGGCGGCGGCGAGGAGGGGCGCCGCCGUGAACGCCCAGGCGGCCGGCGGCGCCGGGCCGAGCUGCCAGGUGGAGCGGUGCAGCGCCGACAUGGGCGUGGAGAAGCGGUACAACCGGAGGCACAAGGUGUGCGACGCGCACCGCAAGGCGUCCGUCGUCCUCCUCGCCGGCCUCCGCCAGCGCUUCUGCCAGCAAUGCAGCCGGUAAGCCCCGCCUGCCUGCUUGCUCGGAGGCACAUGCACAUGGGCGCAGUGCAGUGUGCAGUCCGGCCGGCGUGCGUGACUCGUACGUGAGUGAGUUCGUGACAUGCUCAAAGGCACCGCCCGCUUUCAGUUCGUACGGCUACUACUACUACUAAACUAAACGAGCUUAAUUCGACCUUGAGAAAGCUUGCAGCUUUUUUUCUUGGGUCAUGGAUAGCACGGUGAGCUGCUGGAUUGGAUCCUAAGCUAGCUAGGUUGCUCUCUCAACUCAAGAUCUUGCAGAAGCGUCUCUCAGUCUCAUGCAACCUCUUUGGAGGUUCCACGAGCUGUCGCACUUCGACGACACCAAGCGCAGCUGCCGCCUGCGCCUGGCGGGGCACAACGAGCGGCGCCGGAGGAACCCCGCGGAGGCGCAGGACCAGCACGGCGGGCGGGGCGACCCGGGGAGCCACCACCUCCAGAUCAGAUAAAAACCUACUACGUCAGCAUGCUCUCUCUCUUCUGUCAUGCAGGACGCACGCACCUAGCGUCGUCACCGAUCCAUAGUCCGAUAUGUGUCUCAAGUGUUGUGUGUGCGCGCUCUCGCCGCCUACCCCUGUCCUGCAGUGUUGCGUAGUAUAUGGUUCUACGACCUACACGUACUGCUGCUACUACUGCGUGCUAACUUUAAUCUGAUGGCAGUCCACAGCUAGCUAGCACAUCACCUCCUGUAAGUAAUGUGCUUAUCUAUAUGUGCACCGACCGGAACCGGAGGCGUGCGUACGCUGAUCUGCCACGAAGCCUACUAGUAGUUAAAUGUAACGUAACCUGCAGGCAAUUAAGCAGGGCGCUGCUAUAUAUAGCGUAAUUAAUUGUGCGUAUGGGUAUGGUGGUUCGAUUAUCGGAUGUGUAAUCCCUGUACGUGGCCGGGCCCGUGCCAAACGUACGGUGACCUGUGCAGGCUCUGUGUGUCGAUGAUGUUGUACUCUGAUAAUGAUAUAAUCCAUUGUGGUAA